rnacentral:misc_RNA from 1 species
AACGCAUAUUGCACCCGACAGGCUCGCUUGUCGGGUCUGCCUGUCUGAGUAUCAGUACGGACCCAAUCAACAAUGAAAGGUUAUUAAUUUAGCUGGACAAUGUUGUGUUGGUGCUCACUAGAGGUGCCUUUGUGCCUCUGGUGGAUUUGAGUGUUCAGUCAUCAUUUUUUGGCUGAUCACUUGAAAUGUAUUGGUGUCGUCUAGCUGACAGUCGCCGCGUAAGCAUUGUUAAUCAUCUUUAUUGAUGUUCCUUGCUAUUACAUGGACCAACGACAAUAAGCACUAUUAGCACGAUCCAAGCACAAACUCCAAAUACUUGUAUUUAACCAUCUUGAUCUCAGAUCAGGCAGGAUGACCCGCUGAACUUAA